rnacentral:rRNA from 1 species
AUGGCAGGCGGCGGCGGCGGCGGCGGCGGGAAGAAAGACCGCGGCGAGGGGCUGGGGCGCGCUCUUGUCCGGCAGCGCAACAAGCAGGCCUUGGCCGCCAAGGCGAGGGGCCAGCAGCUCGUGAUCUCCCGCCGCGCGCAGCAGGCGCUGCCGCUCGAGUCCGUCAUCGAGGUCAGCGACAUCGACGCCGUCCUGCAGCGGGCCGCCGAGGAGGAGCUCCUCCACGGCGACGACGCGGAAGGCGCCGCCGCCCUGACCGCCGCGCUCCGCUCCGGCCUCAUCGAUCUGGAUGGGACGGGGGACACGCAGGAGGAGAGGCGGCUUCUGCGGGAGGAGCAGGAGGCCCUGCACGCCGACAGCCUGAGGGUGCCCCGCCGGCCCCCGUGGACUGCCCAGAUGACCACCGAGGAGCUCGACACCAACGAGAAGCGGGCUUUCCUGGAGUGGCGGAGGAACCUCGCGAGAUUGCAAGAGAAUGAAGAACUUGUCCUUACGCCUUUUGAGAAGAAUCUUGAUAUCUGGAGACAACUGUGGAGAGUACUUGAACGCAGCGAUUUGCUCGUGAUGGUCGUUGAUUCUCGAAAUCCCUUGUUCUACCGUUGCCCUGAUCUUGAGGAAUAUGCACAGGAAAUUGAUGAGCACAAGAGAACACUGCUUCUUGUAAACAAGGCUGAUCUUUUACCACUGAGUGUCAGGCGGAAAUGGGCAGAUUACUUUAAGGAACAUGAUAUUCUCUAUCUAUUCUGGUCUGCUAAAGCUGCUACCGCAGUGUUAGAAGGGAAAAAAUUGAGCAGCCAAACCAUGGAAGAAUCAGAUACAGAUCUUGAUACAAAGAUAUAUGGCCGGGAAGAGCUCCUGGUGAGGUUGCAGGGCGAAGCGGAGUAUAUAGUGAGCCAAAAGGGUACAUCCGCUGCUGGAGAGGAACAUGAAUCUAGUUCUGAUUCUGCCUUGGUGCGACCCAAGCGUGUGGUUGUUGGAUUUGUUGGCUAUCCAAAUGUUGGGAAGAGUUCAACCAUCAAUGCUCUGGUCGGUGAGAAGAAGACUGGUGUAACAUCUACACCUGGCAAGACCAAGCAUUUCCAGACACUGAUAAUCUCAGAAGAGCUCAUGCUGUGUGAUUGUCCUGGUCUGGUCUUCCCUUCUUUUUCAAGCUCGAGGCAUGAGAUGGUGGCGUGUGGUGUCUUGCCAAUUGAUAGAAUGACAAAGCACAGAGGAGCAAUUCAAGUGGUAGCAAAUCGUGUGCCAAGAAAUAUCCUGGAACAGGUUUACAAAAUCACCCUGCCAAAGCCCAAGGCAUAUGAAGAAGCAUCUCGACCACCAACCGCCGCUGAGUUGUUGAUGGCGUACUGCACAUCUCGGGGGCAUGUCAGCCAUGCUGGGCUGCCUGAUGAGACCAGGGCUGCUCGGCAGAUACUGAAGGAUUACAUUGAUGGAAAGAUUCCGCACUUUGAGCUUCCUCCUGGUGAGAUAGACGAUGAAACUGAUGCAGAGGACAACAGUGACCUAGAAGGAUCAAGCACUGCAGCAGCUGAUCAAUCAGACGAUGGUGCUUCUGAUGAAGAUGAUGAGGAAAUCAAUCGAGCUGAACCUAACAUCAGUCAUGCCCUAAACGACCUUGCAUCUUUUGACAUGAAUGGCCAAAUGACCAAGGGUUCCACAAAGAAGAAGAAGAAAGAAGCAUCCCACAAGCACCACCGGAAACCCCAGAGGAAGAAGGAUCGAUCAUGGAGGGUUGGAAACGAUGGUGCUGAUGGGUCGGGGGUUAUACGGGUGGUCCAGAAACCCGCCGUUAAUCUUGCUGCCAGUACACUAGCGUCGUAG